GGGUUGUGAGGUUAAGCGACUAAGCGUACACGGUGGAUGCCCUGGCAGUCAGAGGCGAUGAAGGGCGUGCUAAUCUGCGAUAAGCGCCGGUAAGGUGAUAUGAACCGUUAUAACCGGCGAUACCCGAAUGGGGAAACCCAGUGUGAUUCGUCACACUAUCAUUAACUGAAUCCAUAGGUUAAUGAGGCGAACCGGGGGAACUGAAACAUCUAAGUACCCCGAGGAAAAGAAAUCAACCGAGAUUCCCCCAGUAGCGGCGAGCGAACGGGGAGGAGCCCAGAGCCUGAAUCAGCAUGUGUGUUAGUGGAAGCGUCUGGAAAGGCGCGCGAUACAGGGUGACAGCCCCGUACACAAAAGCGCAUGUGCUGUGAGCUCGAUGAGUAGGGCGGGACACGUGGUAUCCUGUCUGAAUAUGGGGGGACCAUCCUCCAAGGCUAAAUACUCCUGACUGACCGAUAGUGAACCAGUACCGUGAGGGAAAGGCGAAAAGAACCCCGGCGAGGGGAGUGAAAAAGAACCUGAAACCGUGUACGUACAAGCAGUGGGAGCNNNNNNNNNNNNNNNNNNNNNNNNNNGGGCGUUAAGUUGCAGGGUAUAGACCCGAAACCCGGUGAUCUAGCCAUGGGCAGGUUGAAGGUUGGGUAACACUAACUGGAGGACCGAACCGACUAAUGUUGAAAAAUUAGCGGAUGACCUGUGGCUGGGGGUGAAAGGCCAAUCAAACCGGGAGAUAGCUGGUUCUCCCCGAAAGCUAUUUAGGUAGCGCCUCGUGAAUUCAUCUCCGGGGGUAGAGCACUGUUUCGGCUAGGGGGCCAUCCCGGCUUACCAACCCGAUGCAAACUGCGAAUACCGGAGAAUGUUAUCACGGGAGACACACGGCGGGUGCUAACGUCCGUCGUGAAGAGGGAAACAACCCAGACCGCCAGCUAAGGUCCCAAAGUCAUGGUUAAGUGGGAAACGAUGUGGGAAGGCCCAGACAGCCAGGAUGUUGGCUUAGAAGCAGCCAUCAUUUAAAGAAAGCGUAAUAGCUCACUGGUCGAGUCGGCCUGCGCGGAAGAUGUAACGGGGCUAAACCAUGCACCGAAGCUGCGGCAGCGACACUGUGUGUUGUUGGGUAGGGGAGCGUUCUGUAAGCCUGCGAAGGUGGCCUGUGAGGGUUGCUGGAGGUAUCAGAAGUGCGAAUGCUGACAUAAGUAACGAUAAAGCGGGUGAAAAGCCCGCUCGCCGGAAGACCAAGGGUUCCUGUCCAACGUUAAUCGGGGCAGGGUGAGUCGACCCCUAAGGCGAGGCCGAAAGGCGUAGUCGAUGGGAAACGGGUUAAUAUUCCCGUACUUGGUGUUACUGCGAAGGGGGGACGGAGAAGGCUAUGUUGGCCGGGCGACGGUUGUCCCGGUUUAAGCGUGUAGGUGUGUGUUCCAGGUAAAUCCGGUUCACUUUAACACUGAGGCGUGACGACGAGGCACUACGGUGCUGAAGCAACAAAUGCCCUGCUUCCAGGAAAAGCCUCUAAGCAUCAGGUAACAUCAAAUCGUACCCCAAACCGACACAGGUGGUCAGGUAGAGAAUACCAAGGCGCUUGAGAGAACUCGGGUGAAGGAACUAGGCAAAAUGGUGCCGUAACUUCGGGAGAAGGCACGCUGACACGUAGGUGAAGUGAUUUACUCAUGGAGCUGAAGUCAGUCGAAGAUACCAGCUGGCUGCAACUGUUUAUUAAAAACACAGCACUGUGCAAACACGAAAGUGGACGUAUACGGUGUGACGCCUGCCCGGUGCCGGAAGGUUAAUUGAUGGGGUCAGCGCAAGCGAAGCUCCUGAUCGAAGCCCCGGUAAACGGCGGCCGUAACUAUAACGGUCCUAAGGUAGCGAAAUUCCUUGUCGGGUAAGUUCCGACCUGCACGAAUGGCGUAAUGAUGGCCAGGCUGUCUCCACCCGAGACUCAGUGAAAUUGAACUCGCUGUGAAGAUGCAGUGUACCCGCGGCAAGACGGAAAGACCCCGUGAACCUUUACUAUAGCUUGACACUGAACAUUGAGCCUUGAUGUGUAGGAUAGGUGGGAGGCUUUGAAGUGUGGACGCCAGUCUGCAUGGAGCCGACCUUGAAAUACCACCCUUUAAUGUUUGAUGUUCUAACGUGGACCCGUUACCCGGGUUGCGGACAGUGUCUGGUGGGUAGUUUGACUGGGGCGGUCUCCUCCUAAAGAGUAACGGAGGAGCACGAAGGUUGGCUAAUCCUGGUCGGACAUCAGGAGGUUAGUGCAAUGGCAUAAGCCAGCUUGACUGCGAGCGUGACGGCGCGAGCAGGUGCGAAAGCAGGUCAUAGUGAUCCGGUGGUUCUGAAUGGAAGGGCCAUCGCUCAACGGAUAAAAGGUACUCCGGGGAUAACAGGCUGAUACCGCCCAAGAGUUCAUAUCGACGGCGGUGUUUGGCACCUCGAUGUCGGCUCAUCACAUCCUGGGGCUGAAGUAGGUCCCAAGGGUAUGGCUGUUCGCCAUUUAAAGUGGUACGCGAGCUGGGUUUAGAACGUCGUGAGACAGUUCGGUCCCUAUCUGCCGUGGGCGCUGGAGAACUGAGGGGGGCUGCUCCUAGUACGAGAGGACCGGAGUGGACGCAUCACUGGUGUUCGGGUUGUCAUGCCAAUGGCACUGCCCGGUAGCUAAAUGCGGAAGAGAUAAGUGCUGAAAGCAUCUAAGCACGAAACUUGCCCCGAGAUGAGUUCUCCCUGAGACUUAGAGUCUCCUGAAGGAACGUUGAAGACGACGACGUUGAUAGGCCGGGUGUGUAAGCGCAGCGAUGCGUUGAGCUAACCGGUACUAAUGAACCGUGAGGCUUAACCUUACAACGCCGAAG
rnacentral:rRNA from 1 species